GACGAACGCUGGCGGCGUGCCUAAUACAUGCAAGUAGAACGCUGAAGAGAGGAGCUUGCUCUUCUUGGAUGAGUUGCGAACGGGUGAGUAACGCGUAGGUAACCUGCCUUGUAGCGGGGGAUAACUAUUGGAAACGAUAGCUAAUACCGCAUAACAAUGGAUGACACAUGUCAUUUAUUUGAAAGGGGCAAUUGCUCCACUACAAGAUGGACCUGCGUUGUAUUAGCUAGUAGGUGAGGUAAUGGCUCACCUAGGCGACGAUACAUAGCCGACCUGAGAGGGUGAACGGCCACACUGGGACUGAGACACGGCCCAGACUCCUACGGGAGGCAGCAGUAGGGAAUCUUCGGCAAUGGGGGCGACCCUGACCGAGCAAGGCCGCGUGAGUGAGGAAGGUUUUCGGAUCGUAAAGCUCUGUUGUAAGUCAAGAACGGGUGUGAGAGUGGAAAGUUCACACUGUGACGGUAGCUUACCAGAAAGGGACGGCUAACUACGUG
rnacentral:rRNA from 1 species